AUCUCUUAAACACUCUAAGUGGAGAAUAAGGUUGAAGGAAGAAGAGAUGGAGAAAAAUAUUUGAGAACUCUUUCUCUUUUUCCCAAAGUCCUACACCCUAGGAAUAACCCUAAGGAACUCACACCAAGAUGGACGCCCCACACUAUAAUUUUCACGCACCAAAGUGUCAUGCCCUUCUUAGAUUUUUCAUAUGGAAAUCUUUUUCCACACUCACGCAUGCCCCC
rnacentral:lncRNA from 1 species